AGGGCCAGUCUUCCUCAGCAAAAAGAGGAGGAUUGUCAGCAGAUGUUAGCUCAGGGCUAAUCUUCCUCCAAAAAACCCCUAAACAAUGGUUUAAUAGGAGGGUAAGUAAUAUAUGUCGUAUUUUAGCCUAAUAGGAGAAUGUAUUAUUACUUUAUUUAUACAAUUCCUUCAUAUUAUUUUUAAAAGAUAUGUAGUAGUACAAGUGUCUAAACCUGUGGUUCUGUAUAAUUCAUUCCUGUAACCAACUUUGCAUUAUAAAAAUUUCACUCAGGGACACAGUGUAUGUCUUCAUACGUGAAAAAAGUUUUGUAGAGCAUUAAAAUAGAGAUUCUGAAUAAAAUACAGUCCAUUUCUAAGUUAGAAAACACUACUCUGCAAUAUGACAUGUCUCCUUGGCUCAUAGCUAAUCUCUGAUGAGCUAACAGAAUGUUAACAUUGCUUUUUGCGAUGAGCUCUAAUUCACUUUGGAAUGUGACCCAUAAUUAGAACAUUGAUUUUGUUCUUGUAAGGCCAAAUGGUAUGAAGUCAAAUGAUCUUUCUAAAUUUAUUGAAAUUGGUACUUAAUUAUUUUUAUUUGUGAACCAAAACUCCCUAUUCUAUUGAAAUUGAGUGUAAUAUUUUGAUGUGACAUUUUGGCUUCUGAACUCAAUUUAGGCCAGUUGCCUUGAACAAUCUCUUUUUCUCUGUCUACUAAGUUUCUUUCUUUUUCCUCCAAACUGUUACCAUUUUGCUGUGCACAAACUGCCUUUGUAGAAGUGGAACAUGAGGCUGUCUGGGUCAGGGCAAACCAGCCAGGCGAGACAGAAGAUUGGGUCAGACUGGCUACGUUUGACAAGGAUCACCCUGACUCCCUUCAAAAUUGUGCUGCCGUUCACUGCCAGACUGGUUGUCUUGCCCAUGAAAAUUGAAUUCCAUGGCAUUCAUGGCAUUUUCUGUGGAGGUUUCUUUCUCGAGAAAUCUCUCACUGCCCCUACCCCCUCACCCCUCAUUAAAUUGAAAUUUAAUGAUUUUUCAGGAUUUUGUGUGUAAUAUCAUUCUUUCUAGCAUUUUUAAGUAACAUUCUUUGUAAUGGACAAAUCCUAGUUUAGUCAAUAAUUCUCUUAGUAUUAAAUAUUUAGUUUUUACCCUAGUCUUUUAAAUAAUAUUAUUAAUAGUGGUGUGGUGAGUGUCUGUAUUUACAGAGUGUUUUAAUAUUAGGGUUAUUUCUUGCUGAUAGAUUCUCCUAGGUAUAAUAUAAUUUCUUGGUAAUAUGGUAUAUUUAAUCUUCAGUUUCUAUUUAUAUAUUGUCAGAUUUCUUGA